CAAAAUCUGUCAAAAGCAAGAAUGGUGUUUUGGAGAAGGAAGGAGGUAGGACUAUGUCCAUGUUUAAGGCAAUGUGAAACAAGAUGAGAAAGGGCGGCUGCAGCACAUGCAAGAUUUGGGGAGAAGAAAUCAAAAGUUGAACUUGGAGCACACAGUGGAUGGCAAUCACCAGGAACAUUUAAGUCUGACCCCCAGGAACCCUCAGGAGUAAAGGAGUGAUGAUGAGGGGAUGGAUUACCCAAGUUACUUGAAAUGAGAACUCCAUCAUUUACUCUGGAUCUUUAAGACUGUCUCCUGUGCUAUAAGCAGUAAUGAAGAAUUGUUAACUGCAUAUUGAGAAAGAAAUCUACUGCCUGAGGGUUUUGCAACAUCAGGAAGUCUAAGAAAAGUCAUGCAACCAAAAUGUUCUACAAAACACAAACUUAGAGAAAAUGCUUCAAAGGGUGCUGAAGACUGAAAUGUACAGAUAUUUGAUGGAAAACUCAGAAAAGAUACAACAAAUACCUCAAGAAACAGAGGAUAGCCACCAUUCUCUUGAUCAGCAUCAUCCUCACUGUCCUCAGAGCUGAAGUAUACUCGGUGCUAGGCACUGAGAAUCUAUAGGCUCUGAAGAAAAGCUCUGCUAAUCUACAACAUAGCUGGGAUUGCUCUUUAAAUAUUUGCACAGGUAUAAAACUGUUACAGGACCGGGCAUGGUGGCUCACGCCUGUAAUCCCAGCACUUUGGGAGGCCGAGAUGGGAGGAUCAUGAGGUCAGGAGAUCGAGACCAUCCUGGCUAACACAGUGAAACCCCGUCUCUACUAAAAAAUAUUUAAAAAUUAGCUGGGUGUGGUGGCUGACGCCUGUAGUCCCAGCUACUGGGGAGGGCGAGGCAGGAGAAUGGCAUGAACCUGGGUGGUGGAGCUUGCAGUGAGCUGAGAUCGUGCCACUGCACUCCAGCCUGGGUGACAGAGGGAGACUCUGUCUCAAAAAAAAAAAAAAAACCUGUUACAGGUGAAUCAAAAUCUUCUGAAGAAAAACUGUCAGGAAAACACACUUGUGGGAGCAGUGCUUUGGGCUUCAGCUGUUUAGCUGAAGGAGAUGAAGGAGAGGCCGGAGGUCUAGUCCUUACCAUCAUCUCUCGUAUAUAAAAUUAUAGUUUUGUUUUUUUCUCUCUCUGGCUAAAAAUUAAUAAUGCAGAAAACUCAGGACAUAGAGAAAGGUAAAAAGUAGAAAAGAAACAUCUCACUGCUUCCUAAACUUUUAUUUUUCUCCAUUGAUCAAAUCAAUUUUUUUCUUAGUCUAUCUAGGUGAGAUUAUUAUGUAUAUAAAUUAUUUUGCCUUUCUCUUGAGUGUUAAACUAUGAAUAUAUCAAAAUUUAUUUUAAUGUGUUAUUUGUAGUGGCUAUACUAUAUUCUCUUAAAUGGACAUGUGAAAUAAUUCAUUUAAUUAUUAAUC
rnacentral:lncRNA from 1 species